CGGACAACGCUGGCGGCGUGCCUAACACAUGCAAGUCGAACAGAGAUAUACUUGUAGCAAUAUGAGUGCAUCUUAGUGGCGAACGGGUGAGUAACGCGUGAGCAACCUGUCUUUCAGAGGGGGAUAACAACGAGAAAUCGUUGCUAAUACCGCAUAAGACCACACUGUCGCAUGGCAGAGGGGUAAAAGGAGCAAUCCGCUGAUUGAGGGGCUCGCGUCCCAUUAGAUAGUAGGUGAGGUAACGGCUCACCUAGUCUGCGAUGGGUAGCCGAGCUGAGAGGCUGAACGGCCACACUGGAACUGAGACACGGUCCAGACUCCUACGGGAGGCAGCAGUGGGGAAUAUUGGGCAAUGGGCGAAAGCCUGACCCAGCAACGCCGCGUGAGGGAAGAAGGUCUUCGGAUUGUAAACCUCUGUUCUUGGUGACGAAAAAGAUGACGGUAGCCAAGGAGAAAGCCCCGGCUAACUACGUG
rnacentral:rRNA from 1 species